GUGCUUGUGGUGUAGUGGUAAUCGCAUCCGCCUAACACGCGGAAGGUCCCAGGAUCAAUCCCUGGCGGGCGCA